rnacentral:rRNA from 1 species
UACCAGCACCCCGAGUGGUCGGGACGAUUAUUGGGCCUAAAGCAUCCGUAGCCGGUCCUGCAAGUCUUCCGUUAAAUCCAGCUGCUCAACAGAUGGGCUGCGGGAGAUACUACAGGGCUAGGAGGCGGGAGAGGCAAGCGGUACUUUAUGGGUAGGGGUAAAAUCCGCUGAUCCAUAGAAGACCACCAGUGGCGAAGGCGGCUUGCCAGAACGCGCUCGACGGUGAGGGAUGGAAGCUGGGGGAGCAAACCGG